UAAUUGUGUCAUUCUUAGUAAUUACUUCGU
rnacentral:piRNA from 1 species